CGGGGACCCCCUGACCGUCGUUGCCUCGUCUCUCCCCAGCCCCGACGCGGAAACCUCGCGCAAGAGUAGCCCGAGAGAUGGGAAAAGCAGCUUGCCAAGAGGAGCGCGGCGGGGCUUUCUAUCUUACCACUCUUUCUGAUUCCCGCACCACGUCGGGAGACCCCACUAUUUCCUCACCCUCCACCCGUGGCCUAUAGGAAUCAAUCCAGAAAGGGAUGACAUAGGAUUUUAGGGCGUUUCACUAAGAUUAUUGACUGAGAUGAAGCAUGUAUUAUGAUGAACUAAGGAAAGUAAGUACAAUUACUCCAUCCCAUCAUACUCUCUUACCUUGUGAGGUAUGGGCCUAACUUCAAGAAAUCCAAGUUCUAAGCAAACUGGCUUUACAAAAUGAAAGACACGGUCUAGAUCUAGUCAACAUUUAGAACAGCCACAGCGCAACCCUAGACAUGUCUACUCAGAAGUAAGGCUUGCUGAAUUCAGUUGCACUUCCUCCUAGGUAAGUAUGUAUGGGAUUGCAGUCUCAAGUGCAUUAUUAGAUCUCUCAUGUUGAAAUAAAUGAACCUUCAAAGUGCUUAGCUUUGCUGAAAUCAUGCCCAAUAUGAUUACACGAUUUGUCCCUGAAAUUGCAAGUUUGUCUGAUUAUAAUUUCCCACCAUAGAUUUCCCCCUUCACCCCAGUCUAGCCUUACUGUGAGGUACAAGUUACCGGUAAUUCAGAGACUCUGGAAUUGGGUGCUCAGACACGACUGGGUGAGGCUGGAGCAAAGUGUUGCUUUGGGGGGGGGAGCAGAUUUACAGAAAGCAGAUGAUGUAAGUAAAUCCUGCACAUUAUAAACUUAAAGUAACCACCAGGCCUGUGGGCUUCUUCCCCAGUGGAGUAUCCAGCCCAGCCUUUGAUGAAGUGAAGCUCCCUCACAGCCCAGCUCUGCUUCAGAUAUUGUUUCAAACAGACUGAUGAAGCCCUUUUUGCCUCAUUUAAGAUAAAUAGAGAAUGUUGGGGGGAAAGUGUCUUCCCCUAUUUCUUUUCUUCGUUGUAUGAAAGCCAGGCCGGGUGAAGGGGGAGGAGGGCAGGGCCAGGCUGAGAUGUGGUGUCAGAUCAUGCAGAAUCUCAGAGAACCCAGCCUUGCACUGGCCUCCUCAGGGAAGGAAAUUUAAAUUAACUGCAGCAGUUGGUGUGUAUUUGUGUGUGUUUGUCCUGGAGUUGGAGAAAACCUUUGCAUGGAACCUGGUUCCCAAGGCUCCAACGGAAUAAGAGGAACCCUCCGCGCUAGCAGACCUUCCUGGCAAAGCUUUGACACUGCUUUGCCUGACAACAGCCUUGCUCAGGAUGCAGCAAACUAGGAGAUAGGUAACACAAAGAAGCUCAUGGCUCAGCAUCACAGAGCAAAAGAUACCAUAGAAAAAGAGGUAUCUCUUUUUUGUGGCCAUCAGCUCUGCUGACACUGAUGCACAGUGGAAUGAAAGGGACUAUUGAGUGUAAUGAUCAGGUGGUAUUUAUUUUAUUUCUUUAACAAGAUUUAUAUACCACUUAAUCAAAUAAUAAUAAUCCGUAAGUGGCUUACAUAUAGUAUUCAUUAACACUGUAAUAAAAUCUGACUUUGAAACAGUAAACAUAAUGAUCAAAAUAGAGAUAAAUCCAUUGGGGGGAAAUGCAUCUAAUUGAAACUGAAAAAUAAAUGCACCUAAUCAAAUUACAUGUCUGGGAAGGUUUGCCGAAACAGAAAAGUUUUUAGCAGUAGUCAAAAACAGAACAGCAAAGAUGCCUACCUAAUAUCUAUAGAUCAGCUGAUGUCACAGUAAAAACAAAUCAAUUUUUCACAAGAGUGGAACAAAUAUUUUGCAGCCCUUGUAAAAGUGCCACUUCUGCAGAUUGAAGCAGUCAUGUGGGCACAUCCAGGGUAAGGUGAGGGUCAUAGCUGUACUGUAGUAGUAACGCUUAUUUGGCUUACUCUUGGCAGGGACUCAGCUAUUUCAAAUGUACUGUUUCAAAUUAUGCCAACGUUUUGUCAAAAGAGGGAUACUUCUAUGAAGACAGAAAGCAAGGAAGGUGAGGAUAUUGGGGAAAACAUGGCAGCCUGGGUCUUCAACAGCAACUAACAAAGAGCUUGCUGAAUAUGGAUGUAAAUGGUUCGCAGUGAAGAAGAGGUACAUAAUUUGGAGCAGAUUCUGCCUAUGUUGGCAGAAUGCACUGAAAAAGAGAAGUAUUCAUCUUCCAGGCAGAAAAGGAACCCCUACCAAGAAUUUAAGUUGAAAUGCGUGUGACUCAGGAAUCACUGAUGAUCAAGGCAUUUUUCCACUUCUUCCUGAGUUGUGCUUUCUUUCUUGUUUUGAACUGAUGAUGGAAGGUAAUAGAUGGGCUCUGAUACAGAUGCAACCCUUUCUUGCUGUCCUCCAGGGGAGAAAGUAUAGCUGUAUAGCUGCCCAGGAGUCCUAAGGCAAGCUCUCCUACCUAGCUUGCCUACCUACCAAGCUCCUACCUACCUACCUGCUGUGAUGCUCAAGCUGUAGCCCUUUGACCGCUAGUGGUCCAUGAGCUCCAUUCAGAUGGUCCCUUAACAGGUUGCAGAACAGAUGAGAACAACUGAACUCAGUAGCAGUCAAGUGAUAGGGCAGUGCCAUGGUGUGGAGUUGGGGCCAGAUGGUGGUGAGCUUAGGGCAGCCUAGGUGCACCAUUGGAGGCAAUCUGGCACUUCCAUCAGUAUGCCUUUGCUGCUCCCUGCACCAACUGGGUAAGUGGCAGUAGCACUGCUCUUGAGAGGGCACUGUUCUAACAUGUCAGCUGUUCUUGUUUGUACCUGGGUGUACAGUUGAUUUCUUUUUUCUCACAAUAAUGAUUAAGGUUAGUUUGACUGGUGCUAGAAUGUCAAACAGGUUAACCGGACCCUAAUCUGUACAUUGCAGAUGAAUAAAGGUCUCACAAGGGCCAGGAGGAUGCCAAAGUGGUUAAUUAGCAAAGUUAAGAAGCUCUCAGAGGCAAAAAUACUUUCUUUUUUUAAAAAAAAAAUUAUAAUCAAAAUCUUGUCCUUACAAAGAGAACAAAAAGGACCACAAACUUUGGCCAAAAAAAAAUGGAGUCAAAACAAGGGAGUCAAAAAUGCGCUAAAGGAGGAUAAGGAGAUUGGGGAGGGGGGAAGCUGAAUUAAUUAUUUCAUAGAAUCAUAGAAUUGAAAGGGUGCACCUAUCUUCACAAUGGAAGAUGUAGAGCAGAGCACUAACAUUUGGAGGAAGGGAGUCUGAGAAACUGAAGCAGAUAGUGGUGAAGAGAGACAAAAUUCUAGACAAAAUAAAAAUGAAUUAAUGUAAAAAGGUAAAGGUACCCUUUGACCAUUAGGUCCAGUCGCAGACAACUUU